AUUGAACGCUGGCGGAAUGCUUUACACAUGCAAGUCGAACGGCAGCACGGACUUCGGUCUGGUGGCGAGUGGCGAACGGGUGAGUAAUGUAUCGGAACGUGCCCAGUCGUGGGGGAUAACGUAGUGAAAAUGACGCUAAUACCGCAUACGAUCUAUGGAUGAAAGCGGGGGAUCGCAAGACCUCGCUCGAUUGGAGCGGCCGAUAUCAGAUUAGGUAGUUGGUGGGGUAAAGGCCCACCAAGCCAACGAUCUGUAGCUGGUCUGAGAGGACGACCAGCCACACUGGAACUGAGACACGGUCCAGACUCCUACGGGAGGCAGCAGUGGGGAAUUUUGGACAAUGGGCGAAAGCCUGAUCCAGCUAUUCCGCGUGCAGGAUGAAGGCCCUCGGGUUGUAAACUGCUUUUGUACAGAACGAAAAGGUUUCUACUAAUACUAGGAGCUCAUGACGGUACUGUAAGAAUAAGCACCGGCUAACUACGUGCCAGCAGCCGCCGUAA
rnacentral:rRNA from 1 species